rnacentral:lncRNA from 1 species
AUCCCAUCACUUACCUUUGCAAUAUUUUUAUAUAUCAUGAGUGCUCUUUUUUGAUAAGAACUAGGGUUCUUUUUUCGUAUCAUACCUUACUUUCCAAUGUAAUAGUAUACUAAUUAACACUGUUGCGAUCCAGUCCUACUUUACUGCCACUGUUAAUUUCAUGUUAACUUUCCUACAGUUUGUGGUCUAUAAUUUACUUUAGUUGUAUCCAGACGCUUCAUCG